rnacentral:tRNA from 1 species
AAUUUUAUAUUUUAAUAAAAAUAUUAAAUUGCAAAUUUAAAGAUAUUAAUUUGAAAUUAAUUAAAAUUU